rnacentral:rRNA from 1 species
UAGUAUCAGCGUGUCAGCCGCCGCGGUAAUACGUAGGGUGCGAGCGUUAAUCGGAAUUACUGGGCGUAAAGCGAGCGCAGGCGGUUCUGUAAGUCAGAUGUGAAAUCCCCGGGCUCAACCUGGGAACUGCGUUUGAAACUACAGGGCUAGAGUAUGGGGAGAGGGGGGUAGAAUUUCCACGUGUAGCAGUGAAAUGCGUAGAGAUGUGGAGGAAUACCAAUGGCGAAGGCAGCCCCCUGGCCUAAUACUGACGCUCAUGCUCGAAAGCGUGGGGAGCAAACAGGAUUAGAUACCCCUGGUAGUCCACGCCCUAAACGAUGUCUACUAGUUGUUGGUGGAGUAAAAUCCAUUAGUAACGCAGCUAACGCGUGAAGUAGACCGCCUGGGGAGUACGGUCGCAAGAUUAAAAACUCAAAUGAAUUGACGGG